UACGGAGGGGGCUAGCGUUGUUCGGAGUUACUGGGCGUAAAGGGUGCGUAGGCGGGUCUUUUAAGUCAGGGGUGAAAUCCUGGAGCUCAACUCCAGAACUGCCUUUGAUACUGAAGAUCUUGAGUUCGGGAGAGGUGAGUGGAACUGCGAGUGUAGAGGUGAAAUUCGUAGAUAUUCGCAAGAACACCAGUGGCGAAGGCGGCUCACUGGCCCGAUACUGACGCUGAGGCACGAAAGCGUGGGGAGCAAACAGGG
rnacentral:rRNA from 1 species